CUCUGGUAUUGAUUGGUGCUUGCAUCAUGAUUUACAUUUGAGUGAGUGGCGAACUGGUGAGUAACACGUGGGAAACCUGCCCAGAAGCGGGGGAUAACACCUGGAAACAGAUGCUAAUACCGCAUAACAACUUGGACCGCAUGGUCCGAGUUUGAAAGAUGGCUUCGGCUAUCACUUUUGGAUGGUCCCGCGGCGUAUUAGCUAGAUGGUGGGGUAACGGCUCACCAUGGCAAUGAUACGUAGCCGACCUGAGAGGGUAAUCGGCCACAUUGGGACUGAGACACGGCCCAAACUCCUACGGGAGGCAGCAGUAGGGAAUCUUCCACAAUGGACGAAAGUCUGAUGGAGCAACGCCGCGUGAGUGAAGAAGGGUUUCGGCUCGUAAAACUCUGUUGUUAAAGAAGAACAUAUCUGAGAGUAACUGUUCAGGUAUUGACGGUAUUUAACCAGAAAGCCACGGCUAACUACGUGCCAGCAGCCGCGGUAAUACGUAGGUGGCAAGCGUUGUCCGGAUUUAUUGGGCGUAAAGCGAGCGCAGGCGGUUUUUUAAGUCUGAUGUGAAAGCCUUCGGCUCAACCGAAGAAGUGCAUCGGAAACUGGGAAACUUGAGUGCAGAAGAGGACAGUGGAACUCCAUGUGUAGCGGUGAAAUGCGUAGAUAUAUGGAAGAACACCAGUGGCGAAGGCGGCUGUCUGGUCUGUAACUGACGCUGAGGCUCGAAAGUAUGGGUAGCAAACAGGAUUAGAUACCCUGGUAGUCCAUACCGUAAACGAUGAAUGCUAAGUGUUGGAGGGUUUCCGCCCUUCAGUGCUGCAGCUAACGCAUUAAGCAUUCCGCCUGGGGAGUACGGCCGCAAGGCUGAAACUCAAAGGAAUUGACGGGGGCCCGCACAAGCGGUGGAGCAUGUGGUUUAAUUCGAAGCUACGCGAAGAACCUUACCAGGUCUUGACAUACUAUGCAAAUCUAAGAGAUUAGACGUUCCCUUCGGGGACAUGGAUACAGGUGGUGCAUGGUUGUCGUCAGCUCGUGUCGUGAGAUGUUGGGUUAAGUCCCGCAACGAGCGCAACCCUUAUUAUCAGUUGCCAGCAUUAAGUUGGGCACUCUGGUGAGACUGCCGGUGACAAACCGGAGGAAGGUGGGGAUGACGUCAAAUCAUCAUGCCCCUUAUGACCUGGGCUACACACGUGCUACAAUGGAUGGUACAACGAGUUGCGAACUCGCGAGAGUAAGCUAAUCUCUUAAAGCCAUUCUCAGUUCGGAUUGUAGGCUGCAACUCGCCUACAUGAAGUCGGAAUCGCUAGUAAUCGCGGAUCAGCAUGCCGCGGUGAAUACGUUCCCGGGCCUUGUACACACCGCCCGUCACACCAUGAGAGUUUGUAACACCCAAAGUCGGUGGGGUAA
rnacentral:rRNA from 2 species